AAAAUACAAACAAUUCCAGUGAUUUUAAAGAUUAUCAUCAAGGUAUUGCUUUUAAUUUUCUCAAAUUUUAGUUUAUAAUUCAAUUUUAAUACUAUAAAAACUUUUACAUUCUUUUUUUUUUUUUACUAUAAUUAUUUUAAUCUAUAUAUUAUACAAUAUUAUAUUAUAAUUAUAUUGCUGGUAAAUUUUAUACGGAUGAUAUUUUUGUCAAGCAAAAUUUUACCGGCGACUUUCCGUCGGUACUUUAAUAAUAACUAAUAAUUUAUUAAAUACAAUACUGUAGUUUGAAGAUAAUUAGACAACAUUUUUAAACGACUCGUAUUUAAACAAUUAACAAAAAAAAUUAUUCAUAAGUGAGAACUAAAUAAUUAUUUUUAUAAAUUAACGCUAAAUAACCAUUAUUCAUGUUUUCAUUUUGCAUUAUUUUAUAACAAUUACAAAAUAAAACGUAUAUUAUAUAAAAAAAAUUGGAAAUAAAGGACAACAAUAAAGAAUAUUUUACUAUCUGACGAUACAGAAUCCUAAACCUAUUAAAAUGAGAAGGUAAAUGAUAGUACGAAACCGCUGUUAUAAAACAAUAUUCAAUAGCCCAAACGGUUCCUUGAAAUCGAUUCGUACGGUUUACAUUUAAAAAAAAAAAAAUACUUCCUACCCCUUGGUAUAAAUCUUGAUAAUAAACUUACUAAUACAAUUUUGAUAAAAUUCCAAUUUCAAAUCGAGUGAGUCUAUGCGAAGUUCUCUUUUAUCAAACUCGUCAUAAUACGCCUCUCUAACUACCCGAUUCAAUCCUUAUUGGGCAUACUUUUUAGUUGGGUUGUUUGGAAUAGAGAAUUUAUAUGGUAAUUUAGUUUAUAUGUGUGCAACAGCAAUUUAUUGCAAACGAAAAACGAUUCUGAUUGGAAUAGUGUUAUUUCGUAUUAUUUAUUUUGUUACAAUAGUAACUCGAAAAUAAACAAAAAUCCAAGAUAAUUUAAUAAAAUACCGCCACGCCGUCCGAAAAUCGUUUAGGGUACUGCGUAAACAAACUGGAACAUUUUUAAUAGGUAUUGAACAAAAUUCAUAAAAAGCAAUUUUUUUGGAAAUUCCGAAAUAUUCUCGAAUUGAAUUACCACCAGACGUUUAUGUAUACGGCAUGAUAGAUUCGGACAGUGUUUACUUUUUACUAACUGUAACAGUGUUUUUCGAGAAUAAAACGCACAUCUUUGAAGAACUACAAUAGCUUCUUCGGUUAUACUCGGAAUGUAAAACUUGCAAAAGGAACCGAUUUCCGAAUGACGGCUAUAACUGUUAAUUAUAAUAUUUAUCGUUCUGCAGUUGUAGUGGUUAGUUUACAUAAUACAAUAUUAUCCUGCAUAUCCGUAUCGCGUAUGUACUUUUCCCCGUUCAUAUUGACCGCAUGUUAUAAAUUAUAAUAUUAUAUUUAAUAUUAAUGUUCCCAUUAUUUUUUGCACUUGUUUUCUCGGUCAUUUUUUUUUUCGUUACAAGUUGUUGAGGUACCUAUUUAUAUACAUAUUUUUCCCCAGGCGGUAUUCAAUAUAUAUAUUAUAAUUUAUUUUAAAUACUUCCGCGUCUAUAAUAUAUUACUUCACGAGUAAUGACAUUUUUUAAAAAGACAAUUUUUUUUCGAAGUAUUCUGCAAUCGGUUUUUAUGGGUUUCGUAUACUUUUUAUGUGAAAAGGUGAACGAGUUAAUAUGAAAACUAUAAUAAACUCCACGAAAUUAAUAGUUUUAUAAUAAAAUUGUAAUUUAACUCGUCAAGUUAAAAUUCGGAAAAAAAUAACUUUAAUCAGCUACAUAUAUAUAUAUAUACAGGAUGAUGCGUGCUCACUCCAUUUUUUUUGGUUAAAUUUUGCAUAUAAUAUGUUGUAUGUAUUCAAAUUUUGAUUUUUAGAAUUUUUAAGUGUAAUUAAAUCCGAUAUUUUUGGAUACUUCAAGUAAAGUAUUAUUUUAAAUAAAAGUAGGUGUAAACAUUUUUAAAUUCCGUCAACUCAUUGACGAGAUAUUUCACUUUUAAGUUUAUGUAGUAAUACUCCAUCGAAAAUAUCGACUUUAACUACACAUACAAAUUUAAAAAAUCAAAAUUGAAAAUAUAAAAAAUGUAACUAAAAAAAAUGGGUUAAGAACGCUUAGAAAAUUACCCUGUAUAUUAGGGCAAUCCUUAUUUUCAUAUUAAGUUCCUAAGUAAAAAAACUAGUUUAAAAUAACUCAAAAAAUCUUGUAAUUCUUCAAAUAUUUAUUUUAAUGCUACUACCCUUCUUCAAAAAAAAACUUAAUUUUAAUGGAGUUACAAAAAUAUAAAUUUAAAAAUAAAAAAAAUAAAAAACAUUUACAACUCCGUCAAAAUUAGUUUUUUUCCCUCGAAGAAGCAUAGUAAAUGUUAGUCAAUUUUUACCAGUAUAAGAUUUUUUCAGGUACACUGAGUAUAGGGACAAAUAAUUAGUCUUAAACAUUGUAAAUACCGGUGUAUUUUUAAUGGAAAAAUUUAACUCUCUUAGAACGUCAUCUAGAGUCAAAAUAAAAAUCUUAACAAAAUUACAGAAUUUUGUUUUAAUUAUUUUAAACUAGUUUUUUCACUUAGGAAUAUUUAAUUCCAAAAAAAAAAACUUUAAAAAUAAAACACCCAAAUAUACAUAAUAUCUAUGUAUAUUAUAAUUAUAUACAAUAUAAAAAAAAAAAAUAAUAAUAAAUAUUUUUACGAUUUCUACUAUACUGAUAUUACCAUACGAGAAAUUCGAAUUUAUACAAUGAAAACUAUUUUAACUAACUGUUUAGUUAUAGUUCAGUUAGUUAAUGACAAUAAUUAUCUAACUAAAGUAACUGUUUAAACAUACGAUUUUAAUGUUUUCGCUUUUUUUUUGUAAAAUACUAUAACACGCCUGCGACUAUAUAAUUUAAUGUCAUAUCCGGAAUUUACUCACUCCAAAAAACAUGACCACUAACGACGACAAAGUACCAAAACAAAUAUUAUUAUUUAAUGUCAUAGUAAACACUAUACAAUCUAUUACACGAUUUUUGACCAAACAAUAUUUUAAAAAAAACCGCUUCAGACCACUCUCGCACGCUAAUCUAAAAUAUGUUUUCUAGGAAAACAACACUACGUAAAACCAUUAAUCAAAAUAUUUUUUUCAUAUUAACAAUUAAAAUAAAUAAUAAUGUAAACAUUAUUUUUAAUUUUUUCUACUUCGUUGUUUACAUAUGGGUAUGUCAACGUUCAAAUAAGUCAAUAAGAUUAAUCGUAACUAUGUGAUGAAAUUAAAUUUUGUUUCAUUAUUAUUAUAUUAUUAAACUUACCUGUUAAUUUAUUACCUUGAAAAAAAAACGAAUGCUGGUUUAACUAAUUUCAAAUGUUUUUCCUACAAUUACCUGUCAAAGAACUCAGAACUAGAAAUAAAAUAAAAUGCAAAAUUUCCAUAAUUCAAGUGUAAGCCCCCUUGUGUAAAGUGAAAUCUAUUUUCGAUAUUUCAGAUCUUUAUGAAAUAUUAUAGAAUUAUAAUCUAACAAAAUAGUCUACUAUAAAUGUAUAGAUUAUUUUGUACAAAACCUAAGUAUUGUCAUUGAUUAUUAUAAGUUUUUCUAUAUUGGUCAUAAUUAUUUUUAAAAAAAGACUACAUACAUCGCACUUUGGUGUGGUCACUGUUAUAGAUGAGAAGUUGGGAAAGUAGGAUAUAGAAAGAAAUUUAAUGUAUACCUGUAAGCAACGGUAAACUAUUGCUAACGAAAAAAACGAUUCUGAGCGGAAUUCAUUUGAUAGUAAUGCAUAAUAAGUAUAAAAUAAAGAAAUAUAAUAUAAAGAUUAACAGAUACCUAGUUAAAUUAAUGUAUUGAAAUCGAAAUGUAUUUUAUUUUAAUAUAGCUCGGUCUAUAGUAUUACUUUUUUAACAAUUUGUCUUUCCAUGACAACAAUGGUUGUUUAAAAACGAUUUUAAAAUAAUACAAACUUAAUAUUGACAAAAGAUAAAUAAAAAUGGUUGUCAAUGACAGCUUUAUUUUUAAUCUUUCAAUCUUUUAUAACCUUAUGAACCAAUUUUUCCUUAUUAAUGAGAAUUUAGAAAAAUGACCUUUUUAAAGUACCAUCCAGAGAACAUUUCCUUUCAAAAAAAAGUGAUAUACUUGAUAAUCGGAGUAAGCUUUCAGGUAGAAAAUGUGUUCACUUAAAUAAAAAUAAUAAUAAUUGUAAAAUCAAUUCAUUUUUCGCUCCACUCAGAAUCUAAAAGUAUACGAAUAUUCAAAAACUCAUCUCACUAACUCAUCGGCUACAUAGAAAACGCUACAAAAAAAACUCAUGUAUCAAUAAGUUUUUGAUCGAAGUAAAUCUUUAAAUCAACACAUCUGUCCAUCAUAUUUUUUUUGGUUUCCUGUUAUUCUCCGUUUAUAUUAUGUUAUAGUUACCUAUUAUUACUUUGUUAUAGGCCUAUUGGCGUUCAAUACACGAUCGAUAGUUUGCGAAACUUCCGACGGCCACCUGCUGCUCAACUACCACCGAGCCGAAGGCCGAGUUUGAGAAAACGCGUUAUUGCAAUAAUACCUCAUAAUAAUAUUUUUUUUUACUCGAUUAAUAUUUACGCCGGCCAACGACAAUACAGAAAUGCAAUAUAUUUUCGGGGUCGCAGAAUGCCAGUAUUAUUAUAUUCUUAUUCUCGAUUGUUGUCGCUAUAACAAUAUACAAUUUAAUCGAAUCGCAACAGAUUGCCAUAAUAUACCUAUACGUCCUAUUAGGAACGGAACUCGUUUGUCAUAGCGACCCCGCGAAAAUAAGGUUAAUCGCCACGAUAAUUCAUGACUAAUAUUCAAAAAUAAACGGUUAGCAAUAUUAACCUCUAAAGGUUAGUAAUGAUUUGCAGGGUACUCACCGUCGAGCGCAUACUAGUUGCCUCCCGAGAUCAAAAAGGUCGAUAAUUUUAAUACGAAUUACCUCCCGGCGUAUCCUAAACUUUAUCAUAAACAAAAAGGGUCUACUAUAAGCCACCUCGCAAUAGGCAGGUAAUGAAUGUCUAAGUGGUUUAUAAACGAUUUAAAAUGUUCAAAUAAUAUUCAUAAAUACAUAGAUUUGUUUAAAUAUUUUAUCAUAAAUUAAUAUUAUGUUGGUUGUUUCUUAUUAUUUAUUAAUAACUCAUCAGCCAGCAUUGGAUUUUAGAUGUAUACAUUCAAAGUCGUAAUUUAUGACUUCGGUACAUUAAUAAGAUUGUACGCCUAAUAUUAAACAUUACAUCUCUUAUUGUAAUGAUUACUGCCGUUAGCUGAGCUUCAACAUUCGUUGUACAAUUAUUUUUACAAAUAAUUGUUAAGUGAUUUUAAAUUUUCUAAUAAGUUUUUAGAAUGGAUCAAAUUGAAAUGUGGAAAAUGAUCAGUGAAAAGAGCAAACGUGUUAAAAUAAUUAAUAGUAUUAAAUUUAAUUUUCAAAAAAAAGUUAGCAUACAACAAAGAACCGUGGAAUUGUAUGAAAAAAAAUAUGUAAAGCUUUUUUAAAAGUAGAUUGAAGUGAUUAAGUUAUAUUGAACGAAAAUAAGUUGAACCAUAAUAAACAUUAUCUGAAUAAGUACUGUUCAUGUUCAUGCUUUUUUAUUGACCAACAAUAUUGUUAUUUUUAAUAAAAUUAUAAAUAUUAUAUUAAAUUUAGUUUAGUUUACGAACCACUGCUUUAUUCAAUAUAGAAAGCAACUAGUGCGAACAUCUUUGGGAAGCAACUCGUAAAUAAUUAUGAACUUCCCAAUCGUCGAAGAGGACUAAUGUAUAUUAAUAUAUUAGCCUUUUUAUUUACGAUAAGGAUUGGAGGCAAUUCGUAUAUACCGUCACCGUCGCGUUGUCACUGCGUUUUGAAAUUACCGCUGUGUACUACCGUUGUUCUUGCAGACAAACUAGACUGCCGACUUUGGGGAUGUUAAAGUUAUAGAUAGAUCACAAACCCGUGGGGGCAAUACCUCACAUUCCAUUUUAGAUUAUACUUAUAACAACAAUACAUUUCAUAUGCAUUUUUUAUUUUUAUAAAAAUAUAUCAUAACCUUUUUAACUUUGUUUUUUGUUCACUUAUGCAAUGUCUAUGUAGGUUAUCUGUAUUUGUUCUGCUUGUUAUAUACAAGAAAUACAUAGAUAAAAUAUUUAGUUAACACUAUUAACUAAAAAAACCCCUAGCACCUCCCAGUUGUACCUAUGCAAACUAUUAUUGCGAUGGUGUUUUAUAUAUUAUAUAUUGUAAUUAUUAUGAAAGAAUUACUUUGUGUUAAUCGUUUUUAUAGUGUUAAAAUAAUAUAGUAUCAGAUGUGCAUAUUCCUUGCACAAAUGAGCUUGAGAAACUUACCAGAAUGUGACUGCGAAGUAGAGAAGCCGACUAUCUACCUCAUAACUUCUGCAUGCCCUAUCCACGGCUAUCAAGAAACCAGAAUUGAUGGUCCCACAACCCCCCCCGCAUUUAUUAAAUGGCUGGAGGAAUCUGUUACCUUAUUACUAUUACUCACUAUUAUUCAUACUACUAAGUAUUCUAUUUUGUUUUGUUUUAUUUUUAUUUGUAUUCAUCUGUUAUACACUAAUUUAAUUUACUGUGUGUUAUCAUAUUUUAAUUAGUCUACUGCGUGUAAAAAAACCAUACGCUAAAAAAAUAGUGUUAGAAAAUUGCGUUUACUCAUAAUAAGUUAGAGCCGUUAAAGAAGGUACUCCAGAGUCCUACUCAUGGCCCUUCUCCGCAGCAAAAACUGUACUACUUUACGUCGUUUGAUAUACUAAAAUAUAUUAUGAUAGCAUUUAAUAGCUGGGGAAAAUAAAAAUGCAUUAUGAUUUGUGACAAAAUAUCAUGAAGGGAAUUUUUUUUUUUUUUUUUGAUAUCAUUUGAUUAAUUUUCCUUUUGGAACUUUUUGGUCCCUAAUCAAUGAUGCUGGUAACAUUACAUAAUUUAUGACCCAAUAAUACCAUGUCUAAUAUUUUAUUGUGUUGUGAACGAUCGAGAUUUCCUUGAUCACGUGUCACUGCCACCGUUUCUGUGGACGAUGUCUCAAGAAAAACCGCCUAUCUAAAAGGAAACAAAUGUAUACAUUUAAUAUACAAGUAUAUUUAUAGAUCCAAAAUAAUAGCCGAUGGCGCGUCUACGUAAUAUUCAUUAUUAUAAUAUAUACCGUCGAACGUCAAGGACGGUGACUUCCGACCCGUAAGAUUUGUAAAAAAAAAAAUAAAAUAAAACGAAUAUAAAUAACUAUAAUUGAACUUCCUAAAACCGCGCACAGACGGAUUUUACUUAAGGUAGAUUAUAUUAAUAUUAUAUAUUAUUAUCAUACCCGUACGCGGACGUUUCAUUUUUUAUCAGCACGGCGACAUGGCUGAUGAUUUAUUACCGUUUCGAGGACAAAGUUGCGAAGUCUAUGUGGCUGUGGUCUAAAACCAUCGAAAAUAUCCCAUGUCGUUUUCCGAAUUUUCCAUCCAUUGGAGUACCCGAUUUCCCGUCAACAUUUCCGUGAUAGAAUCAUUUUUCCACACCUUUUUGGAUAACCACAAAUUCAGUCGAAUCCCUUUCUACCAAAACAUUAAACGACUUUUCUCUUUUUCAUAUUAAAUUAAAAGAAAUCCCUUCUUUUAGGCUACCGUUCUAAUGAGAAAUGGUAAACUAAAAAAUUAUCAUUUGCUUGUCUAUAGUAUAAACUAUUACGCUAAAGACUUUUUUUUCACAUGGUAUCCACAACUGGAGGUGGCAUCGAUGUUAGUCACUACACCCUUUUACUAGAAACUAAAUAGUCUAAACCCCUACAUAAAAUUGUAUUAAAUUAAAGAAAGCUUGAAAAAAAUGAUAUUAGUUUAGUAAAUUAUGAUACAAAAUCUAUUACAAAUUUUAUUCUUGAAAUAUUUUUCGUUUGCUUAUGUUAUAUUGCAUCACUGCUUUUAAUUUUAAUAUAUGUGUUUUGAUCUGAAUACAUCUGUACAGCUUGAAUAAGUAUAAACGCUAGUGUAAUAGAUUACACCAUUUUUUUGGAAGCAGGCAAAAAGGUAAAUGCAAGAGGAUUGGCUGCAUCCGAACUGGUUCUAAAGUGGUUACAAAGCAUAUAUCUGAAUUGGUCAUAAAUUAUUGUAAUAGAACUUUCCUUUUUUUCCCCUCAUUUUAUACAAACUUAGAACUGUUAAACUAUGUUUUUUUAAUAUACCAUGAGCCUCGCUCAAUGUACAGCAUCGUUAGUUUCGAUAUCGGAUUUAACCAACUCGUAGUGAAUCAUUUUUGUUGGGUGUUCAAUGAAUCUCAAAAAUGAACAAAAAUAUUUUUCAGUGUAAAAUAAAAUAAAAAUGAAUAUUAUGAAUUUAUGCGUAUAAUUAAUAAAUACACAGCGGCACCUCAAAAAGAUAUCCUAUAACCUCCAAAAUUUCUGUAAUCUUUAAUACUCUUGAAAUACAAAAAAAAAAUACUAUUAAAAUAUAAAAACAUUUUAUAAUUUUUUUUUUUUUUUUUACUUUUGUUUCAUUUCACCCUAGCAUUCAUACUUCUUGAACUUUUUUUUUGAACUGCUGCUUAAUUUUUGUCCGUUAAGUUUUUUAACGCCGUUUUUUUCAUGGUUAUGUUUUAUACUUCCAUCAACAAUUAAACUUAAACUAUUCAUUUUCAAAUAUAACGUAUAUUUUCUUUAUUCACGUAUUUAGCGUUCAAUGUCAUCUGCUAACUUUUUUUGAAAUCCAAAUUUAAAACCUUUUAAUAUGACAAAUUUCUUACUUUUUCACUGUACACAAAUUACAUAUUCAAGAAAUUAGUAUACGAAUACGUACAGUAUAAGCUAGGGUCAUUAAUGUAUAACUAAAUGAAGUAACGAGUAACGACUCGGUAUUGGUCAGUAUCAACCGAUUUUUUUACAGUUUUUAUCGGUGUAUCCUAAAUUAUCUAAAUGAAAAUUUCUUACUAAAUAUUGAAUAAUAUUAAUUUUAAAUUUUACUUCGCCUUUUUCAAGUCUUUAUCGUGAACCAAUUUGGAUGUAAUUUUUAGGUAUGGGAACCAAUUCGGAGACUUCAAAGAGAUUACACCAUGUUUUGGGGGCAAUUAAAAAUAUAUGUAUAUCACUUGAUUACAAAAUAUUAAUAAGUAAAAAGGUUAUUCGUGUAGGAAUUUAUAUACGGCUGUUUGAAUAAUAAUUAUCAGUUCUCGCGAACUCGCGAAUUAUUAAAAUGUAGCGUAAUCAUAAUUAAAAAUUAUAAAUUACUUUAGAGUAACGAGAAAAUAGUUUAGUUUUUAGAUUUUGAGUGGAGCGAAGAAGCUUAUAGUUUUACAAAGAUGUUAGAAGGUAAUUUAAGAAUGUCAUUUUUCGAUUUUCCCAAGAGUUUUUCCAGCAAAUGUGAAAAACCGGAAAAAACGUAGAAAAACUGGAUAAAUUGAUACAACAUUAAACAAAUAUUAUUGAAGAAAAUAUAUAAAGCCAAAUUAAUUAUUUUACUAUAAAAUUACAUGUAUAUUGUUGACAACGCAUCACUAUCAACUGAACUCCGCUCAGAAUCGUUUUUUCGUGAGCAAUGGCUUAUUGCUGCUUAUAGAUUAAAUUAUCUAUAACAGUGGCCGCACCCGUCCCCAUUAUCCUAGGACGUCUUUUUUUGUUUUUGUAUUGUUACGUGUAAAUUAUAAUUUUAUUUGGUGCUUUUUGAAAGUAGUGCACCCGAUAUCGAUUAAAAACCUAGUAACGAAAUGAUAUAUUCAGCGUCUUAAUUAUCAAUACUUACUUCAUGACUGUUACUGUUAUAGAAACUCACGACCAUAAUGUUGUUACAUCGGAGAACGAGACAGAAACCUUCAAGUAACGUCCCCUGUUAAUAAUGCUCUCUCGCGGUAGUUAAAUGAUUUUGCCGACACCGCAGCGCACCCGGUGCAAAUCAUCAACCCGGCACGAGGAGAAAAAGACGUGUUUGAUGCAGCGGUUUACAACAUUUCUGUGACAAUAACGUCGACCACCGUCAAAGUCACUGGGUG